rnacentral:lncRNA from 1 species
AUGGUCAUCCAAUCUUCUGCUCCCAUUGAAACAGCCAAACAAACCUCAGCACCAGCCUUCAGCCUUUGGAACUACCAAAGGAGAGGCCUGUCAGGAAAGAGAAGGAAGAAACCAUGUGGUCUGGAAUUGCAGUCAAGGAAGAGCACCCCUACUCUGGACCUCUGGUUCUCUUCAUCCUGGUCUCCAGGCCAAGGUCCCCAAGGAUGGCUGGCAGUGCAUGUGAGAAACCCAGCAAGCUCCUUGCAAGUGAAGAUCACACAGUAAACAUGGCGACAAAGUAGACCCCAAUCUCUAUGCAUCUUUUGAUCCCAGGAAUAUGUACUUAAGAGACAGAGCCACAUGCUUUGUCUGCUGUCACUGGAUGUUGUGGGAAAAGGCCUGGCUGUGGACUCAAAAGACCUACAUUUGACUUCAGACUCUCUGUGAGCCCAGCUUCCUUAGUAGAACAUCAGUAUAGAACUCCCCCCUUGUGUACUUCACGGGGUCUGGCUGGCGAGAACCAGCCAAGCCGGAAGGUGUUCCCAAGUGGACCUCUUGACCUUUAGGGUAUUGGCCUGGGGGAGGGGGUAGUGGAUGGGAAGGGUUUCAACAGCUGUGUUGGAAGCGGACUGAGGGAGCCAUGGGGAGGUGACUAGACUCUUGAUGGCCUGAGAGCUCUGCUGUGUUCUGGGUGUCAUCGGGCAGGCCUUGAGCCCCACGCUUUUGCAGAGAGCAGCACCUGCUUGCAAGGUUUGUGUGUGUGUUCAGUUGGGUUUCUACGUUGAGGCCACUUGGCACAGGUCAAAACUACCUUCACCUGGAGCUUGCCAACCAUAUUCCAAAUUCAAUUUUCUCAGCAACACUUCAAGACAGACCCUUUAUAUAUAAAUGUUGACUCCACAGAGACAGUAGUCUCUGAAUACUUACAGUAUGCAUUUAGUUUCUGUUUAAAGCUCAGGCAAGAACUUGAGGCCCUGUGGGCUCAUUCUGCUCCUGGUAGCCCAACAUGGGCUGAGCUAGCCUGCAGGAGCCCACCGCCUCCUCUCUGCCCCAGCUCUCCAAGAGAGAACUGGCUCCUCUCCUCUGCCCUGCUCACCAGUUUGUGCAAACCUAGGGCUUUGUGCAAAGCCCACAAAUAGCUGUACUAACAGCAGCCACCAUUUACUGUGUGCAUAUGUGUGCCAGGCACCCAGCUAAGCACCUUAAUGAUUGUAAUUCCAGGACAAUCCCUUGAGCAGCAACCUUACUGUACCUGCUUAAUGGAUGAGGGGACGGAGUCUUGGAA